rnacentral:rRNA from 1 species
UACGUAGGGUGCAAGCGUUGUCCGGAAUUACUGGGCGUAAAGGGCUCGUAGGCGGCCAACUAAGUCAGACGUGAAAUCCCUCGGCUUAACCGGGGAACUGCGUCUGAUACUGGAUGGCUUGGAUUUGGGAGAGGGAUGCGGAAUUCCAGGUGUAGCGGUGAAAUGCGUAGAUAUCUGGAGGAACACCGGUGGCGAAGGCGGCAUCCUGGACCAAUAUUGACGCUGAGGAGCGAAAGCCAGGGGAGCAAACGGG